rnacentral:rRNA from 1 species
UACGAAGGUGGCAAGCGUUGUUCGGAUUCACUGGGCGUACAGGGUGUGUAGGCGGUUUGGUAAGCCUUCUGUUAAAGCUUCGGGCCCAACCCGGAAAGCGCAGAGGGUACUGCCAGGCUAGAGGACGGGAGAGGAGCGCGGAAUUCCCGGUGUAGCGGUGAAAUGCGUAGAGAUCGGGAGGAAGGCCGGUGGCGAAGGCGGCGCUCUGGAACGUUACUGACGCUGAGACACGAAAGCAUGGGGAGCAAACAGG